AAAUUGAAGAGUUUGAUCAUGGCUCAGAUUGAACGCUGGCGGCAGGCCUAACACAUGCAAGUCGAACGGUAACAGGAAGCAGCUUGCUGCUUUGCUGACGAGUGGCGGACGGGUGAGUAAUGUCUGGGAAACUGCCCGAUGGAGGGGGAUAACUACUGGAAACGGUAGCUAAUACCGCAUAACGUCGCAAGACCAAAGAGGGGGACCUUAGGGCCUCUUGCCAUCGGAUGUGCCCAGAUGGGAUUAGCUAGUAGGUGGGG
rnacentral:rRNA from 2 species